GAGUUUGAUCCUGGCUCAGAUUGAACGCUGGCGGCAUGCCUUACACAUGCAAGUCGAACGGCAGCACGGGAGCUUGCUCCUGGUGGCGAGUGGCGAACGGGUGAGUAAUGCAUCGGAACGUAUCCUGGAGUGGGGGAUAACGUAGCGAAAGUUACGCUAAUACCGCAUAUUCUGUGAGCAGGAAAGCGGGGGACCUUCGGGCCUCGCGCUCUUGGAGCGGCCGAUGUCGGAUUAGCUAGUUGGUGAGGUAAAGGCGUCACCAAGGCGGACGAUCCGUAGCAGGUCUGAGAGGAUGAUCUGCCACACUGGAACUGAGACACGGUCCAGACUCCUACGGGAGGCAGCAGUGGGGAAUUUUGGACAAUGGGGGCAACCCUGAUCCAGCCGAUGCCGCGUGAGUGAAGAAGGCCU
rnacentral:rRNA from 1 species